AAACGUAGGAGGCGAGCGUUAUCCGGAGUUACUGGGCGUAAAGGGCGUGUAGGCGGCCUUCUAAGUGGGUUGUGAAAGCGACUGGCUCAACCGGUCGAGGCCGACCCAGAUUGGGAAGCUAGAGGGCGGUAGAGGGGUGUGGAAUUCCGGGUGUAGUGGUGAAAUGCGUAGAGAUCCGGAGGAACACCAGAGGCGAAGGCGACACUCUAGGCCGCACCUGACGCUGAGACGCGACAGCACGGGGAGC
rnacentral:rRNA from 1 species